CCUACGGGUGGCAGCAGUAGGGAAUAUUGCACAAUGGGGGAAACCCUGAAGCAGCAACGCCGCGUGGAGGAUGAAGGUUUUCGGAUUGUACACUCCUUUUGUUAGAGAAGAUAAUGACGGUAUCUAACGAAUAAGCACCGGCUAACUCCGUGCCAGCAGCCGCGGUAAUACGGAGGGUGCAAGCAUUACUCGGAAUCACUGGGCGUAAAGAGCGCGUAGGCGGGAUAGCAAGUCAGAUGUGAAAUCCUAGGGCUUAACCAUAGAACUGCAUUUGAAACUGUUAUUCUAGAGUAUGGGAGAGGUAGGUGGAAUGCUUGGUGUAGGGGUAAAAUCCGUAGAGAUCAAGAGGAAUACUCAUUGCGAAGGCGACCUGCUAGAACAUAACUGACGCUGAUGCGCGAAAGCGUGGGGAGCAAACAGGAUUAGAUACCCCUGUAGUC
rnacentral:rRNA from 1 species